AGUGGGCUGAGGGGUCUGUGUAUGUGCACAUGCUUCUCAUUAAGUCCCACAGAGGAGAGUGGUGUUUGCCCCAGCCAGACAAA